rnacentral:rRNA from 1 species
GGUGACUCCGAUGCAUCUAGAUUACGCGAAGACCUUACCUACACUUGACAUCCUCGGAACUUUCUAGAGAUAGAUUGGUGCCUUCGGGAACCGAGUGACAGGUGCUGCAUGGCUGUCGUCAGCUCGUGUCGUGAGAUGUUGGGUUAAGUCCCGUAACGAGCGCAACCCUUAUCCUUACUUGCCAGCGGUUCGGCCGGGAACUCUAAGGAGACUGCCGAUGACAAAUCGGAGGAAGGUGGGGACGACGUCAAGUCAUCAUGGCCCUUACGUGUAGGGCUACACACGUGCUACAAUGGUCGGUACAAACGGUCGCGAACCCGCGAGGGGAAGCCAAUCCGAGAAAGCCGAUCGUAGUCCGGAUUGGGGUCUGCAACUCGACCCCAUGAAGUCGGAAUCGCUAGUAAUCGUGAAUCAGAAUGUCACGGUGAAUACGUUCCCGGGUCUUGUA